rnacentral:rRNA from 1 species
GAUGAACGCUGGCGGCGUGCUUAACACAUGCAAGUCGAACGGUGAAGGCGGAGCUUGCUCUGCUGGAUCAGUGGCGAACGGGUGAGUAACACGUGAGCAAUCUGCCCCUGACUAUGGGAUAAGAGUUGGAAACGGCGUCUAAUACUGGAUACGAGCUGCGAAGGCAUCUUCAGCAGCUGGAAAGAAUUUCGGUCAGGGAUGAGCUCGCGGUCGAUCAGCUUGUUGGUGAGGUAAUGGCUCACCAAGGCGUCGACGGGUAGCCGGCCUGAGAGGGUGACCGGCCACACUGGGACUGAGACACGUCCCAGACUCCUACGGGAGGCAGCAGUGGGGAAUAUUGCACAAUGGGCGAAAGCCUGAUGCAGCAACGCCGCGUGAGGGACGACGGCCUUCGGGUUGUAAACCUCUUUUAGCAGGGAAGAAGCGAAAGUGACGGUACCUGCAGAAAAAGCGCCGGCUAACUACGUG